UGAGCAAUCUGCCCUUCUCUUUGGAAUAAGCGUUGGAAACGACGUCUAAUGCCGAAUAUGACCUCCUUUCGCAUGAUCGGAGGUGGAAAGCUCCGGCGGAGAAGGAUGAGCUCGCGGCCUAUCAGCUAGUUGGUGUGGGUAAUGGCCCACCAAGGCGACGACGGGUAGCCGGCCUGAGAGGGUGACCGGCCACACUGGGACUGAGAUACCGGCCCAGACCUCCGUACGGGAGCAG
rnacentral:rRNA from 1 species